GGAAAGAGGAGCAGCUGCCUGCUGUUUGAAGGCCAAAUACAUUAAGAUGGGAACCACACAUAAAUGGAAGUCAACAUGUUUGCAACCCAACUGUCAUGGACCAGAAUGAGGUCAUUGUCUUCCAGUCAUCUUGGAGCUAGGUAUAG